UUCUUCUUCUUCUUCUUCUUUUUUUUUUUUUGAGUCUUCAGAAAGGCAAGAGUAAUAGCUCCCCUCCACUGUUGAGAAUCUGAGAUUUUCCCUCCGCAUCUUUUUACAUGCUUUACUUCUCUGACGGUUAGACUUCCCCGGUUUUCCAAGACAUCUCGCGGUUUUAUUUGAUUUUAGUUCUGUUCUUUGAGGGAAUCUCAGCCCCUAGGUGAUCUUUCCUUCCCUCUUUAGCGGAUCCUCGCCCGCUUACAUCCUCGUCCUUCGUCUGAGGAAUGGAGCCUAGCAGCUCUCAGGAAUCCGCAGCUGGGCAAGGCUCUUUGCCUGCAGAGUGGCCUUCCUCCGCCCUCGGACAGGCUUUCUCCCAGAUCUUGCACCAGUUCAACAGCCAGGAAUCCCGACGGGGUAAGGCCAGAAAUACAGUCCUUCAGGACCUCAGUGCUCUAUUAGAAGCCAAAGAAUGUGAUAAGUUAUUUGAGGGGAGUGACAACUCGCUCCGUGGAAUGCCCGAGAUUCUAGGGCAGGUGGCAAAAGCCCUGGAGAAGCAUGCGGCCCCACCCAGGGACCCGGAAGGGAGAGGUGAUCGUCACUCCGAAGUGGCGGAGAAAGCGGCUGCAGUUGGGUUGUUGUUUCUUAAGCUGCUGAGGAAAGUUGAGGCCGCCAGGAAUUUGUUGGUUUGCCCGGCAUGGAAGACAGGCCUCCGUCACAUGGCAGGAUCCAUCUAUAUUUUUGCCGUCACACACAGCUCGGAGCAACCAUGGACCAGCGCAAGAUCUCUGGUCAUCGCUGGGCAAGUGCUCGCCUUACUGCUUCAGGUUACUGAGUGUGGUUCUGUGGCUGGAUUCCUCCACGGAGAAAAUGAAGAUGACAAAGGGAGAUUUACUGCCAUAAUGGGGCUUCUGAAACCCGAGUUGAAUAAGGAAUCCUGGAAAAAUAACCCUGCCACCAAAUACGUUUUCUCAUGGACUCUGCAAAAGGUCACUCGACCCUGGCUGAGCCACCAUCUGGAAAGGAUACUUCCCCCAUCAUUGCUCAUCUCAGAUGACUAUCAAACUGAGAACAAAAUCCUAGGUGUCCACUGCCUCCAUCACAUUGUGCUCAACGUGCCAGCUGCUGAUUUGCUCCAGUAUAAUAGGGCCCAGGUCCUAUACCAUGCCCUUUUCAACCACCUGUACACACCGGAGCACCACCUCAUUCAGGCAGUGCUCCUGUGUCUGCUGGAUUUAUUCCCUAUCCUGGAGAAAACCCUGCACUGGAAAGGAGAUGCAGCUCGACCCACCACACACUGUGAUGAAGUCCUGCAGCUGAUCCUGACCCACAUGGAGCCUGAGCACCGCCUUCUCUUACGCAGGACUUAUGCCAGAAACCUUCCGGCUUUUGUGAAGAGGUUGGGGAUCCUAACUGUCCGGCACUUGAAGAGGCUGGAGCGGGUCAUCAUUAGUUAUCUGGAGGUUUAUGAUGGACCUGAAGAGGAGGCUAGAUUGAAAAUAUUGGAAACCCUAAAACUUCUCCUUCAGUAUACUUGGCCCAGAGUUUCCUGUAGACUUGUGGUCUUAUUGAAGGCUCUCCUGAAACUGAUAUGUGAUGUAGCAGGGGAUUCAAGCCUCACACCUGGGCCUAUUAAAAGCACCUUGUUAGAAGAGGCCACAGACUGCCUGAUUCUCCUGGACCACUGCUCUCAAGGACAGGUGAAGGGUCUCCUGGCUAAAAUCUCCCAAAGCUGUGAAGACAGUAAGGUGAUGAACUGCAUCCGGAAAGUGCAGCAGGUUUCUGAAAGCACUCCCUAUGACGCAACUUAAGACUUACAUCACUUUGCUAAAGACAAAAGGAUUUUCUUUCUAUUCCACUUGUUUUAAAUGCAAUUAUCUAAGGAAAAAGCAUCUGAAGAGUCACUCCCUGCCUCCUGCUGCUCCAGGGCCUUAUCAAAGGCAUGGAUGGGGAAGUUGUAGAUAUCGCCAUACUGAAGAACAUAAACAUAGGUCAGCUGUUACAUUUGGAUCUUAUGCUUCAAGUCCCCUGUCCAACAAGCAUAUUAUUUUCCUCGGUUUUUAAAUGAGAACAUUUAGCUUGAUAAGUAUAUUACUAUAUUAUUUUCAAGCCUAGAGCCAGUGGUAUCUUAAAAAAAUUCCAUUUUUGCUAUCUAAUCAGUGGUUAAUGCCAAAUAGGUAACUUCUAUGAAGGGUGCAUACCAGAUCACUUAAAAUUUAGUACUCUUUAAAACCCAUGGAUUGGAACAAAUGUAAUUCUGCUGACAAAGGGGAGAUAACAAGGAAAAAGUAAAUUUUAUUCAUGUUGUCUCUGUAAAUGACAUUAAUUUUUCAAAAAAGAAUAAAAAUUCAUUUUUUACAACCUUAAAAGACUAGGAUGAAUGAAUAGGCAUGAGGAUUAAAACCAUAUGGAUAUUAGAAAGAUCUGGAAUUGUUGUUUCAGAGUAAGAGUUGGGAAUAAUGGCAAAAAAGAAAAGGUCUCUGUACUACAGUGUCAAGGAUAACUAUAAUAUUUUAUGUACUUGCAUCAGUGAACUAAAGCGGAAGCUAGGGCCCAUAUGAUACUUAUUUAUUCCAGGAAUAAAAUCAAGGUGAGGCUCUUUCUAGCAUCUCCAAAAAUAAAACAUUUCCCACACUACCUAGCAUAUCACCAUCUACAAAAUAAAUUUCUACCCCAAAGUUC